rnacentral:rRNA from 1 species
UACAGAGGUCUCGAGCGUUGUUCGGAUUCAUUGGGCGUAAAGGGUGCGUAGGUGGCGCUGUAAGUCGGGUGUGAAAUCCUGAGGCUUAACCUCGGAACUGCAUUCGAUACUGCGGCGCUUGAGGACUGGAGAGGAGACUGGAAUUCAUGGUGUAGCAGUGAAAUGCGUAGAGAUCAUGAGGAAGACCAGUGGCGAAGGCGGGUCUCUGGACAGUUCCUGACACUGAGGCACGAAGGCCAGGGGAGCAAACAGG